rnacentral:rRNA from 1 species
GCUUGGGAAUAUGCCUUGAGGUGGGGGACAACAGUUGGAAACGACUGCUAAUACCGCAUAAUGUCUACGGACCAAAGGAGGGGAUCUUCGGACCUUUCGCCUUUAGAUUAGCCCAAGUGAGAUUAGCUAGUAGGUGAGGUAAUGGCCCACCAAGGCGACGAUCCGUAGCUGGUUUGAGAGGAUGAUCAGCCACACUGGAACUGAGACACGGCCCAGACUCCUACGGGAGGCAGCAGUGGGGAAUAUUGCACAAUGGGCGAAAGCCUGAUGCAGCCAUGCCGCGUGUGUGAAGAAGGCCCU